GCUCAGAUUGAACGCUGCGGCAUGCCUUACACAUGCAAGUCGAACGGCAGCAUGAUCUAGCUUGCUAGAUUGAUGGCGAGUGGCGAACGGGUGAGUAAUACAUCGGAACGUGCCCUGUAGUGGGGGAUAACUAGUCGAAAGAUUAGCUAAUACCGCAUACGACCUGAGGGUGAAAGUGGGGGACCGCAAGGCCUCAUGCUAUAGGAGCGGCCGAUGUCUGAUUAGCUAGUUGGUGGGGUAAAGGCCCACCAAGGCGACGAUCAGUAGCUGGUCUGAGAGGACGAUCAGCCACACUGGGACUGAGACACGGCCCAGACUCCUACGGGAGGCAGCAGUGGGGAAUUUUGGACAAUGGGCGAAAGCCUGAUCCAGCAAUGCCGCGUGUGUGAAGAAGGCCUUCGGGUUGUAAAGCACUUUUGUCCGGAAAGAAAUGGCUCUGGUUAAUACCUGGGGUCGAUGACGGUACCGGAAGAAUAAGGACCGGCUAACUACGUGCCAGCAGCCGCGGUAAUACGUAGGGUCCAAGCGUUAAUCGGAAUUACUGGGCGUAAAGCGUGCGCAGGCGGUUGUGCAAGACCGAUGUGAAAUCCCCGAGCUUAACUUGGGAAUUGCAUUGGUGACUGCACGGCUAGAGUGUGUCAGAGGGGGGUAGAAUUCCACGUGUAGCAGUGAAAUGCGUAGAGAUGUGGAGGAAUACCGAUGGCGAAGGCAGCCCCCUGGGAUAACACUGACGCUCAUGCACGAAAGCGUGGGGAGCAAACAGGAUUAGAUACCCUGGUAGUCCACGCCCUAAACGAUGUCAACUAGUUGUUGGGGAUUCAUUUCCUUAGUAACGUAGCUAACGCGUGAAGUUGACCGCCUGGGGAGUACGGUCGCAAGAUUAAAACUCAAAGGAAUUGACGGGGACCCGCACAAGCGGUGGAUGAUGUGGAUUAAUUCGAUGCAACGCGAAAAACCUUACCUACCCUUGACAUGCCACUAACGAAGCAGAGAUGCAUUAGGUGCUCGAAAGAGAAA
rnacentral:rRNA from 1 species